rnacentral:rRNA from 1 species
ACAUUAGCAUGGGAUAAUGGAAUAGGACCCUGUCCUCCUAUUUUCAGUUGGUUUUGGCAGCGCGAGGACUAGGGUAAUGAUUAAUAGGGAUAGUUGGGGGCAUUAAUAUUUAAUUGUCAGAGGUGAAAUUCUUGGAUUUAUGAAAGAUUAACUUCUGCGAAAGCAUCUGCCAAGGAUGUUUUCAUUAAUCAAGAACGAAAGUUAGGGGAUCGAAGACGAUCAGAUACCGUCGUAGUCUUAACCAUAAACGAUGCCGACCAGCGAUUAGGAGACGUUGAAUACAAAACACCACCAUCGGUGCGGUCGUCCUUGGCGCGUUGGUCUUCAAAAGCCAGCGCGCGGGGGCGGUUUACCCCGG